AUACAGAGGGUGCGAGCGUUAAUCGGAAUUACUGGGCGUAAAGGGCGCGCAGGCGGCUUGAUAAGUCAGAUGUGAAAGCCCACGGCUCAACCGUGGAAGUGCAUCUGAAACUGUCUGGCUUGAGUACUGGAGAGGAAAGUGGAAUUCCUGGUGUAGAGGUGAAAUUCGUAGAUAUCAGGAGGAACACCGGUGGCGAAGGCGACUUUCUGGACAGAUACUGACGCUGAGGCGCGAAAGCGUGGGGAGCAAACAGGAUUAGAAACCCCUGUAGUCC
rnacentral:rRNA from 1 species